UACGGGGGGGGCAAGCGUUGUUCGGAAUUACUGGGCGUAAAGGGCUCGUAGGUGGCCAACUAAGUCAGACGUGAAAUCCCUCAGCUUAACUGGGGAACUGCGUCUGAUACUGGAUGGCUUGAGUUUGGGAGAGGGAUGCGGAAUUCCAGGUGUAGCGGUGAAAUGCGCAGAUAUCAGGAGGAACACCGGUGGCGAAGGCGGGUCUCUGGGCCGAUACUGACGCUGAGGAGCGAAAGCGUGGGGAGCAAACAGG
rnacentral:rRNA from 1 species